AACGAACGCUGGCGGCAUGCCUAACACAUGCAAGUCGAACGAGACCUUCGGGUCUAGUGGCGCACGGGUGCGUAACGCGUGGUAACCUGCCCUUAGGUUCGGAAUAACUCCCCGAAAGGGGUGCUAAUACCGGAUAAUGUCUUCGGACCAAAGAUUUAUCGCCUUUGGGUGGGCCCGCGUUGGAUUAGCUAGUUGGUAGGGUAAAAGCCUACCAAGGCGACGAUCCAUAGCUGGUCUGAGAGGAUGAUCAGCCACACUGGGACUGAGACACGGCCCAGACUCCUACGGGAGGCAGCAGUGGGGAAUGUUGGACAAUGGGCGAAAGCCUGAUCCAGCAAUGCCGCGUGAGUGAUGAAGGCCUUAGGGUUGUAAAGCUCUUUUACCCGGGAUGAUAAUGACAGUACCGGGAGAAUAAGCACCGGCUAACUCCGUG
rnacentral:rRNA from 1 species